GCCGGCCAGCAGUACAAACCCUAGUGCCAUCGCCCCUUCCUUUGGUGGGAAGCCUGGAGCCAGCCUCUCGGGAGCGGGCCGCCGGUCCCGUCCCGUCCCAGCGGUGGCGAGGGAGGGCAGCCGAGGGGGCAGCCGAGGCGGAAGCCGGACGGGCGGCCGCCCUCCCGCCACACGGAACCAGCCCGCGCCGAGGCAGGGGACGCGGACCCGGGCAAAGCCCCGCGCUCCGCCAACUCUCCAAAAGGCGCUCCCGGGCGGCGCUCGGCGCCUGCGGGCCUCGGGUGACCCCCACCUCUCGGGGCCUUCCAGAAGUGUGUAGCGCCCUUUGAAGUGCCCAGGGGUGUACAGAACACCCAGACAGGGCUGCCAAGAUAUGACACAGGAGUGAAAGAAACAGACCCCAAACUCUGAGGUGACCACUCCCUCAGCAGACAUAAAUUCCCAGGAAAUGGAGUGUAGAAGACUUGAAAAAAUGAUCUACCAAGAAACUGGGUUUGGAACAAGUGGCAAACCCUGAGAUUAAACCAGAGAUUAAAUUGGCUGUUAAAUGGUCUUAAUAAAUUCAGACAUGAUCAGCUGAAUACUACUGGGACAGUUAAAGUAAGUCAGUCUUCUCAAUUGAUGUGAGAGCCCUUGCUGUCAUGGAAAUAAGAUUUGCACCCACGGCGAUUUUUGGCUUGCAAAAAGGGAGCCUAAGAGAAUACAAAGGACCAGUUCAGUAUCUCUGCUAAGGGUGGUGUUAAGUAGCAGCUGAUUUUCUUUGGUUUUCAUUGUACAAUACUCAGGUGACCACGCACUUAAUAUUUAGGGAGUAAACGUACUGUUCAAAGAGUAUCUACAUAAUUACUCAAUUAUCUUGUGGCUAUACUGAGAGAUAAAAAUUCUAAUCUCAUCAAAGAAAGGCAUAUAGUGAGAAUUUUUGCCUUCUGACUUGCACAGCUCAUGUUACAUGUGAGGUUUUUUUUCUAAAAGGAAUAGUUGCAAACAGAACUGCUACGUGCUCUGUUCUGCAGAAUGGUUAAUAGUACUGAAUCACAGUCAAAUUGAAUUGUUUUCUAUUGUUAGAUUUAUUGUAAUACUACUGCGACUAAAAUGACAAGCCAAGUGCUUCAAAAAUUCUAUUUUGGUAAGAUCUGGCAAUGCAUAAACAGCUGUUAACAUUUAGUCCUCUCUAAUAUUUCAAACAAGGGAGAGCAGUGAAUUUUCUAAUAUAACAUGUACUGAACUGACCAAUUCUAGCAGGGUUAACUAAUUUAUUUUGAAAACCAUUGAACUUAUCUAGACAAAGACUAAUUGUUAAAUGCAGCAUUUCUUGGAUGGAAGGGCUGAUUUGUUUUUUGGCUGAGCACUGGUGCACAAAAAAGGAUUGGGACCUUGGCAUAGGGUAUUGUUCAAAUCUCCCAAACAGGCCCGUUGGUUGCAGUCUGGGUAGCGACAGGAGUCACUGGAUCAGAUGAGACUUCCCUAACCACUUCUCUGCUCAGUUCUCGCAUCCCAACUGGCCCCUGAUUCUGUGCGACUACUUCAGCAUAUGCAUUAUCCAUUGCUAUAAAUUAUUUUAAAGUAAAACAUCUUACUGUAUUAUGUACAAAAAGACUGUUCUCUGUGACCAUUUCUGCAUCUACAGGAAGAGUUUCUAUGGACUGUUUACAAGUGUCUUAUCUGUGUGCUAUCUGGUCAGUUCUGCAGCAGGAGCCACCAGGAGUCUCCAGAAGGGCCAGAUUCUCCACCCAGGAUGUUAAAUGACACAUUUAGGUGUAGAAAUUUGUCUUGGCACAGCAGGAGCUGCCUGGGGACUGUCUGAAAUCUCCACCUGAAGAUCUACUGCAAGAGUCAGUCAGAUCCCUUGUUCUGGAGGUGGUGAGGAGCUGGGUCUGUCACCUUGUCUUUGCUCAGUUGAGUGUCUUUUCUGUGCAGGGACUAGCUGAGGAGUUCCUGGACCACUCAGGGAGUUAAUGAGUUUAGCGCACUGAGUGUGCACACAGGGACAUCGCUAAGACCCAGCUACACCACAAUUAUAACUAAAGGACGACUUGACUUUCAUCCAGCUCUUGCCACAGCACCUCUGUAAUUGAAAACCAUGCUGAACAGCAUUCAUCCAGCUGUGAAAUAAGAUAGGCAACUUGUGAUUUCCUGUGGGUUGUCUUCUGUCUUGUGGUUCAACCAGGCACAGGCUUUCCCUGGGAACAUGGCUAUAAUGCCACGCGGAUCAUGCUGUUUUGCUUUCUCCUGUUUAAAAUUGCUGUUGCUCUCUAGAGAAACCUGUUUCUAAGAUUCUGCUUUUUUCCCCCAGAAUGAAUUAAUGUAAUGAGACUUAAUUGCAUGUUUUGUAUUUAUCAUUGGCUUUGCCUUAUUAAAUCUCCUCAGUCAUAGCUGGGCCAAAAGAGACGUUGUAGAGCUACGGUCAGCUGGGGUAGGGUAAAUAGGAGAGUCGCAAAAUGGAACAGCCCAACAAAAGAAGGGUCCUGUUGCGUUCCAGCAAUGAAUAACUCCACUUGAUUUAAGCUAUUGGCUUAACGAACAGACAGAAAAUAUCCCUUGGCUGCUAUUUCCCAGGCCUUGUCUAACUUCUGAAAGAUUUCUUUUGUUAAAACUGAUAAAGAUCAGCUAACAACUUAAUGCCAAAGUAUGGGAGAAGUAUUUACCCACACAGCUGCUCUUAUUUGGUCCAUUUUCUAAACUGUGAGGGGACCAGAUUUUCUCUUGGCAUUUCAUAAUCAUAUGAGUUACCAUACUGUUUCAUUUGGACACUGGAUCUUUUUCUUAAUACUGUUUAUUUCCUGGCUUGUCAGCACUUCAGCUUUUCUGCUCCCUGCUGCAGACUCGCAUUUGCUUCAGAAUGCUAUACAGCUGUGAAAAGACUGUAGUACUGAUAUCUCAUAUAUCUCUGUUCUGAUUAUUUUCAAUAUAAAGUGCUAACAUAAUUUGCUCCUUGAUUCAACAGAAGUAAUUCAAGAAUCCUAAUGCCAAAACAUCUCGCUGUAGCUUUGAUCUGUCUUCCUCUCUCCAUAGCCUUAAUUCAGGCUAAUUAAGAAAUUGUAUCUGUAUCUGGUUACUUUCCAGGAGUUUUGUGCAAUACCAGCUCUACACCAUCCCAGAAAAGGAAUCCCUUCUAUUCUUCUUUCAUAGGCAAUAUAAAAUCCCCAUAUUUAAAAAUAGUAAUGUAUCAUUCCAGCACACAUCCCAGAAUACUUAACCUGGAAUCUUGACUGCAGCAAUGACUUAUAUCUUGCUCCUUUGAAGAAGUUAAGAUACGGAGAAGUUAGUGUUGGUUACCAUGUUACUUAGUUUCACAAUAUAGACUCCCCUGUAUUACCCAAAGCAGAGAGCUACUGUUUCAGAAAGCAGUAGCAUUACAAUUGUUCCAGUGGACACAGCAUCCUGCCCAAAUCUCCUUGCAUGUGGUAUGUAUCUGGGAUGUCGACAAUUCAGGAGUUUACAAAUGUCUGCCUUUACACACCAGACAUUUUCAAAACAACUCUAAUUAAAUCCUUGUUAAGAUUCACAAUAAUUUCUUUCUAGACGAUGGGUGACAUUUGUUUACAGCUGGAUCAUAUACCGAAUGGGGAUUUUCAGUUUAAACCUGAUGUUGAAAUUUCUGGUGUUUUCCUCCACGCCUGUGCCAAUGGAAAAGGUAGUCCUGCCUUCUGCUACGUUCUCCCUUCUUAUGUUCAGUCACAGUUGUGCACUUAUCCAGCAAAAGUCACAAUACACGUGGUUAGACACAGACAAUAUUUUCAGGAAAUACAAUAAUCACUUCAAGCCAUAUAGGAAAAUUUAAGAGCUCAAGAAAACAAAUUAGUAGCUUUCAGCUAUUAGGAACUUGUGUUUACUCCUGCUAGGAGAAAGAUGUGACAGCUGGGAACAGAAAUAAACCAAAGGAAAUGUGUUAAAUUUCUAUAGUAGGGGAUUAUCAAUAACAAAAUGAAAUCCAAAACAUAGUAAAAAUAGCUGUGAGAAAAA